CAGAAAGUUAUGUAGUCCUUCUAGAUUCAGUUGAAUGAAAAUAACCACAGGUUUCAUGUUCCCAAAGAGGACCCUCCUCUCUCUGCAGUCCAAGUUCAAGAAUCCAACAUCCACAGUCUGAGUUUAGACUCUCCAACAGACUUGAGAAACUCUGUCAAAAUGUCCCUUUUGAAGUGAAAGCUGAAACUGGAAUAUUCCAGUUUGUCUUUAAACUCUAGAGGGCAGUCUAGGACUGACUGAGUGUUGCUCUGAUCCUCUUCAAGAAUGAACACAAGAACGAGCAGAAAGAAACAAACACACAGGUGAUUUGAGCACAAAGGUAACAGCACUGACUCAUGAGCACUGAAACAUUAGAUUCCUGCAGUAUUACCGUCAAACUAAAGAAGAGCUUCAAGGAUUCAAGACAGUGUUUCCCCUAUAAUGUAUCCCCGCCCUGCCAACGAGAUCCCAGCCCAGUUAUUGAAGUCCUAGAUCAAUAUAUACGUUGAAUUAUUAUUUUUAUCACCAGAGCCUAAAAAUAUAUUUUGUGCAAUUUUAGACUCUAAAGCUCGCAAUCGUCUCAUUAAUUUAAAGAAAAAUGUAUCUCUCCUCUGCGAUGAACAGGGCUCUCCACACGCUCCUUUGUCUAUCUCCCAACAUCCACGUGUGCUGACAUGCCAAGCCGCGUAGUUCAGAGGCCACGCCUGUAUUUUGGUCACAACGCUUGCCAUUCAUACCCUGACAGUUUUGACAACCUGAGGUUCUGGUUCCUUUCCAUCGUGUUUGCCAACCAACAAAACAGCAAAAAAACUGGUGAUGGAGCACCGAACUGUCCCUGAACUUUCAGCACCCCAAUUGAAAAUAUCUGCGUUGUUAAAAAAACACAGAACAUAGUAAUGCAGAUGUUACGGGUCCCGGGCGUUACCGAGCACCACGCAACAAUGAAGAUUAUUUCUGUAGAAAAGUAAAAAAUGUAUUGAAAUGAGGCUGUUCGAACUGCUCGUGUCUCCUCCAUUCACUGAACUCUUUUAUUCACAAUCCUUAACACUAAUCAUCGCAAAUCAACCAAACAAUCAAUCACAAAGUCAAACAGUAAACAACGGUAAUAAUAUACUUCCUGUCCUAAAUGAAUGAAUCUGGGUCUGUCCUUUAUUAGGUUUUUUUUCUACGUGUGUAGGUGUGGUAUAUGUAUGUGUGUACGUAUGGAUGUAUGUGUAUGGGUGUGUGUGUAUGUGUAUGUGUGGGUGCGUGUGUGUGGAGAGACUAUAACUGUGAACCUUUGUUAACCACAUAAGCAUGAACAAUAUCAUACUCAAAAUAACCUGUUCAACAUCCUUAUCCAAGCUCUACAAAUCAGUCAAGUGUUCUGGUAAUCAUUUAAAAAAACAUUCGAAUGUCGGGAAUAACCGUCAACAUGGCACAGCAAAACACUAACGUCUUCAUAACUACUGUUUCACAGCGCGUUAGCCGCUAGAGUCGCUAAUAACUACCGUAUCACAGCGCGUUAGCCGUUAGCGUCGCUAAUAACUACCGUAUCACAGCGCGUUAGCCGUUAGCCGUUAGCGUCGCUAAUAACUACCGUAUCACAGCGCGUUAGCCGUUAGCCGAUAGCGUCGCUAAUAACUACCGUAUCACAGCGCGUUAGCCGUUAGCCGAUAGCGUCGCUAAUAACUACCGUACCACAGCGCGUUAGCCGUUAACCGCUAGAGUCGCUAGCAAAGCACAAUCAUAUGGUGAAUCGCGGACCUUCUAACCCUCUUAAAACUUCAAUUUAAAUACUCGAACCUGUCACUCAAGUGUCCUAACGCAUCCCCACAUACAUGCUAAUGUUUACGAUCUUAAUCACCGUGUUUUCACAGUAAACCAACCUGUAGAAAAGUAAAAAAAUGUAUUGAAAUGAGGCUGUUCGAACUGCUCGUGUCUCCUCCAUUCACUGAGCUGCCGGUAGGCGGAAGUCACUUGUCUCUCACCUUAUCGCACAGCAGUGAAACUGGCCGCUCACCUAAGGUUCCGGUCCCCAUAACAGAUACACAGUAAGGCAUACUGGUGACUUUCUGGCAUUCAACCAUUAAAAUAAAUUAUGAAAAAUAAAAAAAUAGUGCUCAAUACUUCAGUUUAUAAAGUGUUUGUUGUUUUCAAAAUAAAGUUCUUUCACUCAUUUAUGAGGGUAUCACACAGACACCACACUCUCUCUUGUGGAUGCUAGCUUAAUCAUCUCUCCUAACCUCAAAAACAGCGCUGGCUCAUCUCCCACCAUCCUGUGUGACGUAGACAUAGACAAAUGUCAUACAGGGUGACGUUUGUCUACGUCAUACGCCCCA
rnacentral:lncRNA from 1 species